CGUGGCACUAGAGUGUACUAUGGUAUUUAUACGCACACAGAUAAUCCGCAAGCACACGGAUACCAUUGAAGCUUUUACCCGGUUAAAGGUUUUAUCGUAUCCACAGGGAAACGGGAGAACUGAUCUACGCUCUAACUUAACCAAGAUAAGUAAAUAGGUGUGAAUAGGAAAGAUAGUAGAAUCGAAUAAGAACAAUAUUAAAGGUAAGAUAACAGUGAGUGAUAAUAUGGGAAUAGAGAGUAGAGCAAUUCUAGUAUAUGGGCGAUGGUAGCAGAAUAGAGAGGAUAACUAUGGUUUCUCUACUUCAAAGGGGUAUGUCUAUGUCUGGGACGAACCAUGUGAUAAGAGUACACCACAAAGGAUGCUUAUCCAUAGGCCGAUAAACCCUACCCGUCCUGCUAACGAGAGGUGGACUACAGGGGACCAACGUAACUGUCACCUACGCGGC
rnacentral:lncRNA from 1 species